CAGCAGCCGCGGUAAUACGGAGGGGGUUAGCGUUGUUCGGAAUUACUGGGCGUAAAGCGCACGUAGGCGGCUUUGUAAGUUAGAGGUGAAAGCCUGGGGCUCAACUCCAGAAUUGCCUUUAAGACUGCAUCGCUUGAACGUCGGAGAGGUGAGUGGAAUUCCGAGUGUAGAGGUGAAAUUCGUAGAUAUUCGGAAGAACACCAGUGGCGAAGGCGGCUCACUGGACGACUGUUGACGCUGAGGUGCGAAAGCGUGGGGAGCGAACAGGAUUAGAUACCCGUGUAGUCCCUGUCUCUUAUAC
rnacentral:rRNA from 1 species